rnacentral:rRNA from 1 species
GAUCCUGGCUCAGGAUGAACGCUAGCUACAGGCUUAACACAUGCAAGUCGAGGGGCAGCAUUUUAGUUUGCUUGCAAACUAAAGAUGGCGACCGGCGCACGGGUGAGUAACACGUAUCCAACCUGCCGAUAACUCUGGGAUAGCCUUUCGAAAGAAAGAUUAAUACCGGAUGGCAUAGGAUUAUCGCAUGAUAAUCCUAUUAAAGAAUUUCGGUUUAUCGAUGGGGAGUGCGUUCCAUUAGG